UAUCAGAAGUGCGAAUGCUGACAUAAGUAACGAUAAAGCGGGUGAAAAGCCCGCUCGCCGGAAGACCAAGGGUUCCUGUCCAACGUUAAUCGGGGCAGGGUGAGUCGACCCCUAAGGCGAGGCCGAAAGGCGUAGUCGAUGGGAAACGGGUUAAUAUUCCCGUACUUGGUGUUACUGCGAAGGGGGGACGGAGAAGGCUAUGUUGGCCGGGCGACGGUUGUCCCGGUUUAAGCGUGUAGGUGUGUGUUCCAGGUAAAUCCGGUUCACUUUAACACUGAGGCGUGAUGACGAGGCACCACGGUGCUGAAGCAACAAAUGCCCUGCUUCCAGGAAAAGCCUCUAAGCAUCAGGUAACAUCAAAUCGUACCCCAAACCGACACAGGUGGUCAGGUAGAGAAUACCAAGGCGCUUGAGAGAACUCGGGUGAAGGAACUAGGCAAAAUGGUGCCGUAACUUCGGGAGAAGGCACGCUGACACGUAGGUGAAGUGAUUUACUCAUGGAGCUGAAGUCAGUCGAAGAUACCAGCUGGCUGCAACUGUUUAUUAAAAACACAGCACUGUGCAAACACGAAAGUGGACGUAUACGGUGUGACGCCUGCCCGGUGCCGGAAGGUUAAUUGAUGGGGUCAGCGCAAGCGAAGCUCCUGAUCGAAGCCCCGGUAAACGGCGGCCGUAACUAUAACGGUCCUAAGGUAGCGAAAUUCCUUGUCGGGUAAGUUCCGACCUGCACGAAUGGCGUAAUGAUGGCCAGGCUGUCUCCACCCGAGACUCAGUGAAAUUGAACUCGCUGUGAAGAUGCAGUGUACCCGCGGCAAGACGGAAAGACCCCGUGAACCUUUACUAUAGCUUGACACUGAACAUUGAGCCUUGAUGUGUAGGAUAGGUGGGAGGCUUUGAAGCGUGGACGCCAGUCUGCGUGGAGCCGACCUUGAAAUACCACCCUUUAAUGUUUGAUGUUCUAACGUGGACCCGUAAUCCGGGUUGCGGACAGUGUCUGGUGGGUAGUUUGACUGGGGCGGUCUCCUCCUAAAGAGUAACGGAGGAGCACGAAGGUUGGCUAAUCCUGGUCGGACAUCAGGAGGUUAGUGCAAUGGCAUAAGCCAGCUUGACUGCGAGCGUGACGGCGCGAGCAGGUGCGAAAGCAGGUCAUAGUGAUCCGGUGGUUCUGAAUGGAAGGGCCAUCGCUCAACGGAUAAAAGGUACUCCGGGGAUAACAGGCUGAUACCGCCCAAGAGUUCAUAUCGACGGCGGUGUUUGGCACCUCGAUGUCGGCUCAUCACAUCCUGGGGCUGAAGUAGGUCCCAAGGGUAUGGCUGUUCGCCAUUUAAAGUGGUACGCGAGCUGGGUUUAGAACGUCGUGAGACAGUUCGGUCCCUAUCUGCCGUGGGCGCUGGAAGACUGAGGGGGGCUGCUCCUAGUACGAGAGGACCGGAGUGGACGCAUCACUGGUGUUCGGGUUGUCAUGCCAAUGGCACUGCCCGGUAGCUAAAUGCGGAAAAGAUAAGUGCUGAAAGCAUCUAAGCACGAAACUUGCCCCGAGAUGAGUCUUCCCUGAGACCUUGAGUCUCCUGAAGGAA
rnacentral:rRNA from 1 species